rnacentral:rRNA from 1 species
GACGAACGCUGGCGGCGUGCUUAACACAUGCAAGUCGAACGGUAAGGCUCCAGCUUGCUGGGGUACACGAGUGGCGAACGGGUGAGUAACACGUGGGUGACCUGCCUUGCACUUCGGGAUAAGCCUGGGAAACUGGGUCUAAUACCGGAUAGGACCGCACCGUGAGGGUGUGGUGGAAAGUUUUUUCGGUGUGGGAUGGGCCCGCGGCCUAUCAGCUUGUUGGUGGGGUAAUGGCCUACCAAGGCGGCGACGGGUAGCCGGCCUGAGAGGGUGGACGGCCACAUUGGGACUGAGACACGGCCCAGACUCCUACGGGAGGCAGCAGUGGGGAAUAUUGCACAAUGGGCGGAAGCCUGAUGCAGCGACGCCGCGUGGGGGAUGACGGCCUUCGGGUUGUAAACUCCUUUCACCAUCGACGAAGGGUUUCUGACGGUAGAUGGAGAAGAAGCACCGGCUAACUACGUGCCAGCAGCCGCGGUAAUACGUAGGGUGCGAGCGUUGUCCGGAAUUACUGGGCGUAAAGAGCUCGUAGGUGGUUUGUCGCGUCGUCUGUGAAAUUCCGGGGCUUAACUCCGGGCGUGCAGGCGAUACGGGCAUAACUUGAGUACUGUAGGGGAGACUGGAAUUCCUGGUGUAGCGGUGAAAUGCGCAGAUAUCAGGAGGAACACCGGUGGCGAAGGCGGGUCUCUGGGCAGUAACUGACGCUGAGGAGCGAAAGCAUGGGGAGCGAACAGG